rnacentral:rRNA from 1 species
AUUGAACGCUGGCGGCAUGCUUUACACAUGCAAGUCGAACGGUAACAGGCCGCAAGGUGCUGACGAGUGGCGAACGGGUGAGUAAUGCAUCGGAACGUGCCCAGUCGUGGGGGAUAACGCAGCGAAAGCUGCGCUAGUACCGCAUACGAUCUAUGGAUGAAAGCGGGGGACCGAAAGGCCUCGCGCGAUUGGAGCGGCCGAUGUCAGAUUAGGUAGUUGGUGGGGUAAAGGCCCACCAAGCCAACGAUCUGUAGCUGGUCUGAGAGGACGACCAGCCACACUGGGGCUGAGACACGGCCCAGACUCCUACGGGAGGCAGCAGUGGGGAAUUUUGGGCAAUGGGCGCAAGCCUGAUCCAGCAAUGCCGCGUGCAGGAAGAAGGCCUUCGGGUUGUAAAGCACUUUUGUCCGGAAAGAAAUCCUUUCGAUUAAUACUCGGGAGGGAUGACGGUACCGGAAGAAUAAGCACCGGCUAACUUCGUGCCAGCCGCCGCCGUAAGAC